UGGGGAAUCUUCCGCAAUGGACGAAAGUCUGACGGAGCAACGCCGCGUGAGUGAAGACGGCCUUCGGGUUGUAAAGCCCUGUGAUCCGGGACGAAAGAGCCUGAGGUAAAUAGCCUAAGGAAGUGACGGUACCGGAAAAGCAAGCCACGGCUAACUACGUGCCAGCAUCCGCGGUAAUACGUAGGUGGCAAGCGUUGUCCGGAAUUAUUGGGCGUAAAGCGCGCGCAGGCGGCUUACUAAGUCCAUCUUAAAAGUGCGGGGCUUAACCCCGUGAUGGGAUGGAAACUGGAAAGCUGAAGUAUCCGAGAGGAAAGUGGAAUUCCUAGUUUAGCGGUAAAACGCAUAGAUAUUAGGAAGAACACCGGUGGCGAAGGCGACUUUCUAGACAAAAAAUGACGCUGAGGCGCGAAAGCGUGGGGAGCAAACAGG
rnacentral:rRNA from 1 species